UCACAAGGAGGAGCUAAGCGGCGAAAGGUGGGUCGACGUCCCCGGGCAACUGUGAGCUGUGUCCGGCUGCCGCUGCCUCACUUGCGGCGUCAGUAAGUGUCAGCGCCGUAAGCUGAGCUACAAAUCCUGGGAAAGAGCCCGGCGAAGAGAAGGCGGGAGCUGCGCGCGCGGACGGGCAGAGGCUCUCUCCCCGGAGAUCUUCUGAGAAGGAGAAACAAAGCAGCAUGUGCAUGAAUGACAUGGGAGACUUCUCUCUGGCAAUGACAGUGGCACCAGCUCCCCGCUGGCUCACUCACUCCCCAGAUCCCUUGAGUUGACGGGCAGGCGCUGAGCCAAGCAUGGCAAUGGGGAGAGGCCAGUAUUCUUGCUCUUUCUCUCCCACCUCGCCCUCUUCUGCCUGGAGCCAUUCUGAGCUGAGUUCUCCUUCCUCAUCCCCCUUUCUGCCCCCAGUGCCCCUCUAUCCAUCUGUCCCCAGGGGAAGCUUCAUGCCCUGGGGUAGAGGUGGGGUUUCUAAAUAAAUUAGUCGCCAAGACCUGCCCGGGUCAAUCUGGCCUUUGACA